ACGAACGCUGGCGGCGUGCUUAACACAUGCAAGUCGAACGGUGACGAGGAGCUUGCUCCUCUGAUCAGUGGCGAACGGGUGAGUAACACGUGGGCAACCUGCCCCUGACUUCGGGAUAACGCUUCGAAAGAGGUGCUAAUACCGGAUACGAGCCUCCUAGGCAUCUGGGAGGUUGGAAAGUUUUUCGGUCAGGGAUGGGCCCGCGGCCUAUCAGCUAGUUGGUGAGGUAACGGCUCACCAAGGCGACGACGGGUAGCCGGCCUGAGAGGGCGACCGGCCACACUGGGACUGAGACACGGCCCAGACUCCUACGGGAGGCAGCAGUGGGGAAUAUUGCGCAAUGGGCGAAAGCCUGACGCAGCAACGCCGCGUGAGGGACGACGGCCUUCGGGUUGUAAACCUCUUUCAGCAGGGAAGAAGCGAAAGUGACGGUACCUGCAGAAGAAGCACCGGCUAACUACGU
rnacentral:rRNA from 1 species